rnacentral:ncRNA from 1 species
AACCGCCGUAUACGGAACCGUACGUACGGUGGUGUGAGAGGUCGGUGAGGGAAUUAAUCUCUCAUCUCCUACUCGAU